rnacentral:rRNA from 1 species
GGGUUGUGAGGUUAAGCGACUAAGCGUACACGGUGGAUGCCCUGGCAGUCAGAGGCGAUGAAGGACGUGCUAAUCUGCGAAAAGCGUCGGUAAGGUGAUAUGAACCGUUAUAACCGGCGAUGUCCGAAUGGGGAAACCCAGUGCAAUUCGUUGCACUAUCGUUAACUGAAUACAUAGGUUAACGAGGCGAACCGGGGGAACUGAAACAUCUAAGUACCCCGAGGAAAAGAAAUCAACCGAGAUUCCCCCAGUAGCGGCGAGCGAACGGGGAGCAGCCCAGAGUCUGAAUCAGCUUGUGUGUUAGUGGAACGGUCUGGAAAGUCCGACGGUACAGGGUGAUAGUCCCGUACACCAAAAUGCACAGGUUGUGAACUCGAAGAGUAGGGCGGGACACGUGGUAUCCUGUCUGAAUAUGGGGGGACCAUCCUCCAAGGCUAAAUACUCCUGACUGACCGAUAGUGAACCAGUACCGUGAGGGAA